ensembl:antisense 1810013D15Rik RIKEN cDNA 1810013D15 gene
AAACUUUGAAACACUGUUGAACGAAUUUGGAAGGUGUUAAGGAAUAAACAACUGAUUUUAAAAGCUACGGUUUGGAAAAGCUACGAAGAGCAAACACAAUCAGUAUGCUUUUCAAAUUAGCUUCAGACACAAUCACCUUCCAGAAACAAGUGUACACUGCCAGAGGCACAGGGGAAGGGGGUAGCCUCUGAAACACUAAUGGGUUACCAUGCUUGCUUGAUUAGUAUUUCUCCUUUUAAAGUAUGUUCUCAGCCUGAGUGUAUUUUAACGGUGUGUGUGUGUGUGUGUGUGUGUGUGUGUUGCACCACAUGCAUACUUGAUGUCUACAGAGGUCAGAAAGGCUGUUGGAUCCCCCUGGAACUGCGUUUAGAAACAGAUGUGAUCUGCGUGUGGGAGAGGAAGCCAAGCCCUGGUGUUCUGGAACCUAAAGACGAAUGUCCCUUCCACUCAGGAAUUUCUCUCUCAGACAUCAUCUGACCUGUGUGCAAAGCUGAGCAUGAGUGACUCCAUACCUCUCAGCUAGAAUAACGGAAAGCACUUAACUUCCCAUCCUUCAGAGUCCAACUAGCUAGAUCUAUGACAGACGCACAGAGUGGCCAAUGAGCAGAAGCAUUGAAGAAAACAGACACAGUCUCCUGUUUCCAAGACAGCAUAAAGAACUGCAAAGGAGAACAUACACCCACCUUUUCAAGGAUGUCUGCUUUUCAGCAGAUUGGUCCACGCCCCUCCUGUGCCCAUGAGCUUCCAGAGCUGUGAGGUCUCCCCCACCCACAUUGGGAUCCACCUGUUCCAGACUUCACUUUAUCCUUCUUUGCCUGGAUACCCUGAGGGAAGAAGUGAAAAAUGGAACAACAGAUAAGGAAACAGAAGCAGCAGCUCAGAUAACUUACUUGAGGAGGAUGCACAUUUUUGUAUGGGGAACUUAUAAACAGACACAAGCUGAGAAGGCUAGGCUGACUCCAUGACAGGCUUCAAAUUGACAGUUCAGGAGACAAGGCCUAAAUCUCUGUUUCCAAGAACUGGGUAAGUCCAGGCAAGUCCAGGCCUCAGAAGCUGCCUUGCCACCUGGCCUGAGGCAAGGACAACGAGUCAGCAGCAGUUUUUAGACUUUCUCAGCCAAAAGUUUCCAGACCUCCCCGGCAACAGUUUCUAGCUCCCACACCCCAGAAAUGGUUCUGGAAUGUCCCUAGAGAUGGAGAAAGAUAAAGGUCACCUACCCCCCGAAAUUCCUCUAAUGUGCUUUAAAAUGGGCCUGUGAGCUCACUUGGUUGUCUUUUUUUGGUAAUGGGAGACUCCAACAUGCUGGAUUUCUGCAGAAUAAAACACUCUUUGCAUUUACAUACUAA